rnacentral:lncRNA from 1 species
GUGGUGGUCAUAGAGGCUUGGCUAGCUGCAUGGCUAGGAGAGAGUAUUGCCCAGAACAGUCUUUUAUUUGGGAGAGAGAGUAGAGCAGAAAAGCCUCGAGGGGAGGUAUAACAGCACAUCCUCAAAUGAGGGUUCCAUGAUUGAUGUGCCACCCUGACAAGUCCCCCAGCACAUCUUCUGCUCUCUCGCAAAAAGAGCCAAGGCCCCCGUUGUUCCUCCUCCUUGGCACCCCUUGCUUACAUGCUCAUUCUGCCCCUGCUCC